rnacentral:rRNA from 1 species
UGGGGAAUUUUGGACAAUGGGCGAAAGCCUGAUCCAGCAAUGCCGCGUGUGUGAAGAAGGCCUUCGGGUUGUAAAGCACUUUUGUCCGGAAAGAAAUCCUUGGCUCUAAUACAGUCGGGGGAUGACGGUACCGGAAGAAUAAGCACCGGCUAACUACGUGCCAGCAGCCGCGGUAAUACGUAGGGUGCAAGCGUUAAUCGGAAUUACUGGGCGUAAAGCGUGCGCAGGCGGUUUGCUAAGACCGAUGUGAAAUCCCCGGGCUCAACCUGGGAACUGCAUUGGUGACUGGCAGGCUAGAGUAUGGCAGAGGGGGGUAGAAUUCCACGUGUAGCAGUGAAAUGCGUAGGAGAUGUGGAGGAAUACCGAUGGCGAAGGCAGCCCCCUGGGCCAAUACUGACGCUCAUGCACGAAAGCGUGGGGAGCAAACAGGAUUAGAUACCCUGGUAGUCCACGCCCUAAACGAUGUCAACUAGUUGUUGGGGAUUCAUUUCCUUAGUAACGUAGCUAACGCGUGAAGUUGACCGCCUGGGGAGUACGGUCGCAAGAUUAAAACUCAAAUGAAUUGACGGGGUCAUAGCUGUUUCCU